AACGAGGAUUCCCUCAGUAGCGGCGAGCGAACAGGGAUCAGUCCAGCACCGAAUCUCGCGCUCCUAAAGGGCGCCGAGAACUGUGGUGUUCGGGAGGACCUCGAGCGUCUGUCCGGUACGUAUCGUCCAAGUCUCCAUGAACGGGGCUAUCAACCCACAGAGGGUGUCAGGCCCGUAGGCUGGCGAGCCGAGACCGCGCACCGGGUCCGUUCCCAAGAGUCGGGUUGCUUGAGCGUGCAGCCCUAAGCGGGAGGUAAACUCCUUCUAAGGCUAAAUAUCGCCACGAGACCGAUAGCGAACAAGUACCGCGAGGGAAAGUUGAAAAGAACUUUGAAGAGAGAGUUCAAGAGUGCGUGAAACCGUUCAGGGGGUUAAACGGGUGAGCCCUCGAAGGUCGAAGCGUCCUGCUUCCCGCUUUUUNNGUCGGGGCUUUCGGAGUCCGGGGGAUCCGUAACAGGACCGCCGGCUUCGGAGCAUCUCGCACNGGGGCCGCAAGUGCAGGGCGCGGUAGGACUCCGCGACCGGCUGAGACGCCGUCAGAAGGGUCGUCGGUAACGAGAGUCGCAGGGGUCCGCUCUUGCUUCUUUCGUCCGGCGUCGCUAGACGGUCGACUCGGCCGUGACCUGUNAUCUCUGGGCUCGGCUUGCCGUAUCCCGGAGACCAUACAGCGGAGAGUAAAAGUCGGGUCUCACCCGACCCGUCUUGAAACACGGACCAAGGAGUCUAACAUGUGCGCGAGUCGUCGAGUCGAUAACUAAACUCGCGAGGCGCAAUGAAAGUAAAGUGUCCCCGAUGAGGGUGCAGCACGAUGGGAGAUGCCGUCUCUAUAACAAACCGGAGCGGCCGCAUCCCAAGGGCGUUCGAUGCCGCGCCUCAGCCGGCCGAACGAACCCAGAGCGUACACGUUGGGACCCGAAAGAUGGUGACCUAUGCCUGACCAGGACGAAGCCAGGGGAAACCCUGGUGGAGGUCCGCAGCGAUUCUGACGUGCAAAUCGAUCGUCGGAGUUGGGUAUAGGGGCGAAAGACUAAUCGAACCAUCUAGUAGCUGGUUCCCCCCGAAGUUUCCCUCAGGAUAGCUGGUGCUCGCAGAGAAAACGAACGGAGUUUCAUCCGGUAAAGCGAAUGAUUAGAGGCCUUGGGGUCGAAACGACCUCAACCUAUUCUCAAACUUUCAAUGGGUGAGAAGCCCGGCUUAUCAAUGCUUAAAUUGAAGCCGUCGGCAUUAUAAACUGAAUCAGAGCGCCCAGUGGGCCAAUUUUGGUAAGCAGAACUGGCGCUGUGGGAUGAACCAAACGCGCGGUUAAGGCGCCAAAACGACGCACAUUUCGGAUCCCACGAAAAGGAGUUGGUUGCUAAAGACAGCAGGACGGUGGCCAUGGAGGUCGGAAUCCGCUCAGGAGUGUGUAACAACUCACCUGCCGAAGCAACUAGCCCUUAAAAUGGGAGGCGCUAUAGCGUCGUGCCUAUACCGUGCCGCCGGUCGGCAGCGUGAUUGUCGUGGCUCGCAGAGAGCUUU
rnacentral:rRNA from 1 species